GUGAGGAAUUUUCCGCAAUGGGCGAAAGCCUGACGCAGCCAUGCCGCGUGAAUGAUGAAGGUCUUAGGAUUGUAAAAUUCUUUCACCGGGGACGAUAAUGACGGUACCCGGAGAAGAAGCUCCGGCUAACUUCGUGCCAGCAGCCGCGGUAAUACGAAGGGGGCUAGCGUUGCUCGGAAUUACUGGGCGUAAAGGGCGCGUAGGCGGACAGCUUAGUCAGAGGUGAAAGCCCAGGGCUCAACCUUCGAAUUGCCUUUGAUACUGGCUGUCUUGAGUUUGGGAGAGGUGAGUGGAACUCCGAGUGUAGAGGUGAAAUUCGUAGAUAUUCGGAAGAACACCAGUGGCGAAGGCGACUCACUGGCCCAAUACUGACGCUGAGGCGCGAAAGCGUGGGGAGCAAACAGGAUUAGAUACCCGUGUAGUCC
rnacentral:rRNA from 1 species